rnacentral:rRNA from 1 species
UACGUAGGUGGCAAGCGUUGUCCGGAAUUAUUGGGCGUAAAGCGCGCGCAGGCGGCCUUUUAAGUCUGAUGUGAAAGCCCACGGCUCAACCGUGGAAGGUCAUUGGAAACUGAAAGGCUUGAGUACAGAAGAGGAAAGCGGAAUUCCACGUGUAGCGGUGAAAUGCGUAGAGAUGUGGAGGAACACCAGUGGCGAAGGCGGCUGUCUGGUCUGUAACUGACGCUGAGGCGCGAAAGCGUGGGGAGCAAACAGG